AACCUGCUUCCUCCCCCACCCCGGGCUCCAGUAUGUCUGCCCCUAGCGAUAAGGGCACCCACCCUCGACCCCAGUAGUAGUAAAUCCUUCCCCCAGGCUAAUUAGCCCAGAUCAAACAUUGACAAUAAACAUCGUCCAGUUUCCUAAGCCCCUAUCCCCUCUCUCUUUUUCCUUUCUGUAUCCUUAAAACUGCUCUUCCCUCUGUGGGGGUGGGGGUGGGGGCUUCUCUGCUCUCCUGAUGCAUUAGGAAGGGAGAAGCCCAAGCCCCAGCUUGUGAAUAAACUACCUCUUGCUUUUGCAUGGGACUUGGUCUUAUGAGGGGUACCCUGUGACCUGGGCACAACAGUGCACUCUCUAUUUAAGAUUUCUUUAAGAAAUUUAAAGAUCAUAAAUUUAAAAAUCGGUAUAGCCGACGCCAGAGCUCCAGGGAGGCAGCGAAGCGGGCGGACCAGCCUCCAUUGUGGGGACUCUUGAGGGAAAAGCUCGCAGCAGGUGGACGUGGUGCCGCCGCCAUGGGCAAGGGAGACCCCAACAAGCCACGGGGCAAGAUGUCAUCGUAUGCCUUCUUCGUGCAGACGUGCCGCCAAGAGCACAAGAAGAAGCACCCGGACUCCUCCGUCAACUUCGCCCAGUUCUCCAAGAAGUGCUCGGAGCGGUGGAAGACCAUGUCUGCAAAGGAAAAGUCCAAGUUUGAAGAUAUGGCCAAAAAUGACAGAGCUCACUAUAACAGAAAGAUGAAGAACUAUGUUCCUCCCAAGAACUAUGUUCCUCCCAAAGGCGACAAGAAAGGAAAGAAAAAAGAUCCCAAUGCUCCUAAAAGGCCCCUGUCUGCCCUUUUUCCUGUUUUGUUCAGAACAUUGCCCAAAGAUCAAAAGUAAACACCUGGGCCUGUCCAUUGGGGAUACUGCAAAAAAAUUGAGUGAAAUGUGGUCUGAGCAGUCAGCCAAAGAUAAAUAGCCAUAGGAACAGAAAGCAGCAAAGCUAAAGGAGAAAUGUGGAAAGGAUAUUGCUGCAUACUGUGCCAAGGGCAAAAGUGAAGCAGGGAAGGAAGGCCCUGGCAGGCCAACAGGUUCACAGAAGAAGAAUGAACCUGAAGAUGAGGAGGCAGAAGAAGAGGAGGAGGAAGAAUAAAUGGCUAUCCUGUAAUGAUGCAUAUGGAGUGUGUGUACGCUCAGGCAAUUGUUUUGCUAAGAGUGUGAAUUCAAGUGCAGCUCAACAUUAGCUCAGUAUAAGAACUGUACAGAUUUUUGUGUAGCUGAUAAGAUUCUUUGUAGAGAAAAUACUUUAAAAAAUGCAGGUUGUAGCUUUUUGAGGGGCUACUACAUAUAGUUAGAUUUUAAAGCUUCUGAUGUUGAAUGUUCCUAAAUAUUUAAUGGUUUAAUUUCUUGACUUGUGUAUGGUAGCACAGCAUACUCGUAGAAACUAGUUUACAUAGUAAGUUUUUGGUUUUUUAGGAUGUUGCAUUUUGUUUUUUUAAAAAGAUUUUGUAAUAAAAGUAUGUAUAUUAAAAAAA